UCUCCCUUCACUUUAAGUGUUUGCACGUGUAUCAGGCUGUUCUUGUAUUACUAUAAAGAAAUACCUGAGACUGGUUAAUUUUUAAAGAAAAGAGAUUUAAUUGGUUUGCUGUUCUUGCAGGCUAUACAAGCAUGAUGACAGUACCUGCUCGGCUUCUGGUGAGCUUUUACUCAUGGCAGAGAGCAAAGUGGAAGCAGCACUUCUGCAAGUCUCAGAGUCUAAAGGCUGAAAAACCUGGAGUCUGAUGUCCAAGGGCAGGAGGAGAGGAAGCAAGCAUCUGACAUGGAAAGAAAGUGGGAGCCAGAAGACUCAGCAAGCAAGACUACCCCCAUGACUUCUUCCACCUAGGUCUUCCUCUUCCAGUCCACUGACCCAAAUGUAAAUUUCCUUUGGCAACAUCCUCACAGACACACCCCAAAACAAUACUUUGCCAGCCAUCUAGGAAUCCUUUAAUCCAGUCAGGAUGACAACUAAUGUUAACCAUCACAGCAUUUUCUAAAGAGAAUCCUGCAUUCUAAAGGAUCUAGUCUGGAUGCCAGGAGCUGUGUAUAGGAUGAGAGCCUGGUGGACCUGAUUGACCGCCUGUUGUUCAGUUCAGUUCAGAGACUGAAAAUCAGGAUUUGUGCUGGAGAGUCUUUGAACUGUGUGUGAAAGUAUCUGAAGGUCCAUGACAAUUUGAAAGAAGGCAUAUGAAAAAGGUGCAGGAAUCGAAGGCACGAGAUACACCUGAAAGUGGUGGAGCAAUGAAUCUGAACAGGAUGAUGGAUUGAAAGUGCUCAAAAGAGGCAGCUAGGAUCCUGUAUUCAUGUCCUACCACUGCAGCCAGGGAAAGAUCCUCCCACAUCUAUCAGAAGACUGGAGGAUUAUGUCUGGAGAGAUUGAAUUCUAGGGAUGCUCAGGCCCAAAUGAAGGUUUGAGCACACAAUGAAAUGAGUUGAUAUUGACUGUUGGGAACCAGAGUUCUCAGUGGAUGAAGAGACACAGAAAAAUAAAAUGAAGGAAGGCAAAGAAGAUCUCUGAAGAGAUGGAUUGGAAUUGGAAGCAUUAGUAUGAACCAUGAUUCUAAAAUAGUUAUAUAUUGAUGUCUAUGCUUGUAUAUAUCCAGAAGUUUAUGUAUGUAUGUUUAAAUGUGUGUGUAAUAUAUAUGUAUACAUAUAUGUACACAUGUAUAUAUUUCCUAGCUUUGUCUACUGAAAGGGUCCACAAGCAAAAUCUUGUAGCGGAUCUUGGUCUCUAAGAUUGUUCCCUGUUAAAAAAAAAACAGGAUCCGUUGGAGAAAUUGCUGAUUCCAGUGCUGUAGCAGAAAAGGUAAUACAUGAUCCUAAAAUCAGUAGUCUCAUUCUGUUAGAUUACUGUGGGGUUCAGUAUGGUAGCCACUAGUCUCUUGUGCUAUUUAUUUAUUUAUUUUUAUUAUUAUGCUUUAAGU
rnacentral:lncRNA from 1 species